rnacentral:rRNA from 1 species
AUUGAACGCUGGCGGCAUGCCUUACACAUGCAAGUCGAACGGCAGCACGGGAGCAAUCCUGGUGGCGAGUGGCGAACGGGUGAGUAAAGUAUCGGGACGUGCCCAGUCGUGGGGGAUAACGUAGCGAAAGUUACGCUAAUACCGCAUACGAUCUAUGGAUGAAAGCGGGGGAUCGCAAGACCUCGCUCGAUUCGAGCGGCCGAAAUCAGAUUAGGUAGUUGGUGGGGUAAAGGCUCACCAAGCCGACGAUCUGUAGCUGGUCUGAGAGGACGACCAGCCACACUGGGACUGAGACACGGCCCAGACUCCUACGGGAGGCAGCAGUGGGGAAUUUUGGACAAUGGGCGAAAGCCUGAUCCAGCCAUGCCGCGUGCAGGAUGAAGGCCUUCGGGUUGUAAACUGCUUUUGUACGGAACGAAAAGGUUUGGCCUAAUAAGCUGAGCUCAUGACGGUACCGUAAGAAUAAGCACCGGCUAACUACGUGCCAGCAGCCGCCGCCGUAA